CCAGGACGGCGCAUGUGGCGGAUCUCAAGCCGUGGAGAGGAGACACGGGCAUUAAAGCUUAAUACACAGCGAAGUGUAUUGCUUCUAAAUUAAGC